AUUGAACGCUGGCGGCAGGCCUAACACAUGCAAGUCGAACGAGUGGCGGACGGGUGAGUAAUGUCUGGGAAACUGCCCGAUGGAGGGGGAUUACUACUGGAAACGGUAGCUAAUACCGCAUACCAUCGGAUGUGCCCAGAUGGGAUUAGCUAGUAGGUGGGGUAACGGCUCACCUAGGCGACGCUCCCUAGCUGGUCUGAGAGGAUGACCAGCCAAACUGGAACUUAGACACGGUCCAGACUCCUACGGUAGUCAGCAGUCGGGAAUAUUGCACAAUGGGCGCAAGCCUGAUGCAGCCCUGCCGCAUGUAUGAAGAAGGCCUUCGGGUUCUAAGGUACUUUCAGCGGGGAGGCGUUACCCGCAGAAGAAGCACCGGCUAACACCGUGACAGCAGCCGCGGUAAUAC
rnacentral:rRNA from 1 species